GUGGCCUGGUUGUUAGAGCAUCCGCCUCGGAUGCGGGAGGUCGCGGGUUCGAACCCCGACAGAGUCA